rnacentral:tmRNA from 2 species
GGGGAUGACAGGCUUCGACAGCGUGAUUCUAGAGUAAGACCGUUUCUGUUCGGGAUGGCAUCGGUUCCCGAUACCCACUUGAUGCACCCCUUAAUUGCAGAAGACUCUGUAAUUGGUAAAGCUAUGGCUAGAAUGCAAUUUGCAUUCGCACCUGCGCUUGCCGUUUAGUUCGUCUUUACGAACACGUCUCUCUUCUGACUUCCGCUAUGUAGAAGAGGCGCAACUUAGCGGAACGGGUUACUGAGUUGAUACGACAGUAAUACUGUACCCAGUAUCGAUCCUCCUUUUUCUCUCUUGUUUCUUCUCUUGUGAAACUGGUGAACUAGAAGAUCCAUGACAGUAUGAACACUUGCGCUACACGUUGGACCCGGGUUCGAUUCCCGGCAUCUCCACCA